AGUGAACGCUGGCGGUAGGCCUAACACAUGCAAGUCGAACGGCAGCACAGUAAGAGCUUGCUCUUACGGGUGGCGAGUGGCGGACGGGUGAGGAAUACAUCGGAAUCUACUUUUUCGUGGGGGAUAACGUAGGGAAACUUACGCUAAUACCGCAUACGACCUACGGGUGAAAGCAGGGGAUCUUCGGACCUUGCGCGAUUGAAUGAGCCGAUGUCGGAUUAGCUAGUUGGCGGGGUAAAGGCCCACCAAGGCGACGAUCCGUAGCUGGUCUGAGAGGAUGAUCAGCCAGCUUGGAUCUGAGACACGGUCCAGACUCCUGCGCGAGGACGCAGUGGGGAAUAUUGGACGAAGGGGGCAAGCCUGAUACAGCCAUACCGCGUGGGGGAUGAAGGCGUUCGGGUUGUAAAGCCAUUUUGUUGGGAAAGAAAAGCAGCAGGUUAAUACCCCGCGGUACUGACGGUACCCAAAGAAUAAGCACCGGCUAACUUCGUG
rnacentral:rRNA from 1 species